rnacentral:rRNA from 1 species
CCUACGGGUGGCAGCAGUGGGGAAUAUUGCACAAUGGGGGAAACCCUGAUGCAGCGACGCCGCGUGAGUGAAGAAGUAAUUCGUUACGUAAAGCUCUAUCAGCAGGGAAGAAACACUGACCUUACGGUCAGCAGACGGUACCUGAGUAAGAAGCCCCGGCUAACUACGUGCCAGCAGCCGCGGUAAUACGUAGGGGGCAAGCGUUAUCCGGAUUUACUGGGUGUAAAGGGAGCGUAGACGGCAGCACAAGUCUGGAGUGAAAUCCCGGGGCUUAACCCCGGCACUGCUUUGGAAACUGGGCAGCUGGAGUGCAGGAGGGGUAAGCGGAAUUCCUAGUGUAGCGGUGAAAUGCGUAGAUAUUAGGAGGAACACCGGUGGCGAAGGCGGCUUACUGGACUGUAACUGACGUUGAGGCUCGAAAGCGUGGGGAGCAAACAGGAUUAGAUACCCUUGUAGUC